AAUAAAUAAAUAAAUAAAUAAAAAAUAAAAGAUGUUUCAACCAGUCAAGGAUGAAGUAAAAUGGGAUUAACUCUCUGGGGAAGAAGGAGGGUUCCUUCUGUCUCUGAAAAAUGUCAGCUAGCCAGCUGUUGGAGAGGGUUCUGCUGGCAGAGAGGCAGGCAAUCAUCAGAGUGGCCCAGAGACCUCUGAGGACCUUUCCAGUGCUCAGGUUCAAUGAAGAAUGAUCCCAACAAGGAAGACCCUGGGGUCUAGCCCCAAGAGAGGAUCCCUGGCCCUCAAAAAGCAGCAGAGGGGGCAUGAACAGGCAGUCAUGUACUAUGCACUCACUCAGGGGUCUGUGCCCACACAUCCUGGCAAGUUGCUUCCCACCCCCUCCCAAGGAGAGGCCGGCGUGGGACACGGGGAAGUGGGAAACAAAGUGACUGGGAUGUGUCUGGAAGGUAACACACUUGCCCAGCCUGAGUCUGGGGAUGGCAUAUAUUGUCGCUCCAAUUAACUGAUGUUCUCCAAAGAGAGGGUAUUCAUUAUUCAACAAAUAUUUAUUCAGUGAUUACUAAGUGCCAAGUACUAUAGUAGAUGCUGGGGACACUUGAACCAGUCAGCCAUGGUUCUCGCCUUUUAGAAGCUCAGAGACAAGUUAGGGAGAAGACUAUUGAACAAACAAAAACAAUUUCAGGUUGUGACAAGUGUAAUGACAGAAAAGAAUAGGGUGCCAUGACCCAGAGUAAUGAAAGGGGCCUGAGACUGGGGUGGGACCAAAGAAGGUGUCUUUGUGACCUGGGUUAGUAGGGAUUUAAAGAGCCUCUCCUUUGUUUCAUUAGCUCUGCUUUGGAGGUCACGGGGGAGAAGAGAGAACACUUUUAGGGGUAGCAGCAAUCCAGAAAACUCUCACAGCAUACACAGACAGGCAGGAUGGCAUGGUGCAUCACACACACAUGUAGGCAGAGAACACACAUCAGCCACAGGAGGGCAAACCACAUGUGUGCACUGCCAUUCUCAGCAAGCAAAGUUGCUCUCGAGGCAUCCCCAGCUCUGGGAGGAUAACAGGGCUCUGGGGAAGUAUGUUAUUUCCAGAAUAGAGAGGCUGCCAAGUACUCUCUCCCCCUGCCAAACCCCACUCCACUCCUCCUCCACCUCCCCCACCCCACCCUUCCUCCACCUCUGUUCUCACCUCCAUCAAGCAGCUCCUUGACAGUGCGGUAGUCAUCAGCAAGGACAGCAUAGUGCAAGGCCGUGCAGCCCUUGAAACUGGCGCGGUUGUUCAGCCGGUUGUUGAAGUCAUCCUCUCGGGUGAUCAGGACUGGGGAGACAGCAACACAAACCCUUCCAUUAGCAAUGACAGCAUGAGUCACCAAUCUCACCUGUUUUCUCGUGGCAUUUUAAUUCACUCACUCACUCACUCAUCUACCUACUCACUAAGCAUAAAAUGGCACCUACUAUGUUCCUGGCCAUCUGUGCUGGGUAAGAAGAGGCAAAACAGAGGCCAGUUAGUUCCACAGUGUUUACUGACAUCUGUUAUGUGUUAGGAUUCAUCCUGGGGACAUGAAAUAGAUCAGAUAAGGUCCCUGACCUAACUGAUGAGGGAGGCAGACAAUAACCAGAUGUUUAUAGAACUGUUUGAGAUAAAUGCUCUGUUACAGGUAUAACAGAAAAAUAUACCAGAAUGCCACAGGAGAGUUUAGCUCAACUUGGACAUGAGGAGAGGAUCCCAGAAGACAGGAGUCUUAAAGGAUGAAGAGAAGUUAUGCAGGACACCAAUGUGCCUCUGAAGAUGGCACUCUGAGGGCUGGAGAGAAAGGAAAGAACAAUCGGGCCAACAAGAUUUCCAUACCAAGCACCCUUGGGCUACCUGAACCAGUAAGACUGCCCUCUACCCAGAAACACCAACGUUGACAAAAGUGGACCCAGCUGAGUAGGCUUCUUGCUAAAGAGCAAUGCUCACAUGACACAGGAGAAGAGUGAAACUAGGAAUGGCAUAACCAAUGACAAAGUCUCAGCAAGGAUGGCAAAGAAGUUUCUUUCCUCCCUAGGCUGUGUCUGUUCUCAGCAGGUAAAACGGACACAAAGCAUCUUUGAUACCUUUUAGUUUUCUUGCCUGGAUCCUCUUUCCUGCUCACACCUUAAAUGCUGGUAUCCUGAGUAAAGGACUUGUUCUCCUACCACUCCCUCA